rnacentral:rRNA from 1 species
AUGAACGCUGGCGGCGUGUCUAAGGCAUGCAAGUCGAACGAGUCUCGCAAGAGGCAAGUGGCGAACGGGUGAGUAACACAUUGGUAACCUGCCCUGAAGUUCGGAACAACCAGGCGAAAGCUUGGCUAAUCCCGGAUGUGAUCCGUCGGCAUGAGCCGGCGGAGGAAAGGCGCAAGCCGCUUCAGGAGGGGCCUAUGGCUUAUCAGCUUGUUGGUGAGGUAAUGGCUCACCAAGGCUAUGACGAGUAGCGGGCGUGAGAGCGCGACCCGCCUCACGGGGACUGAGACACUGCCCCGACUCCUACGGGAGGCUGCAGUCGAGAAUCUUCCACAAUGGACGAAAGUCUGAUGGAGCGACGCCGCGUGCCAGAUGAAGCCCUUCGGGGUGUAAAUGGCUUUUCUCAGGGACGAACUUAUGACGGUACCUGAGGAAUAAGGGGUUGCUAACUCUGU